AUUAUACUUCUCAUAUGAACAACUAAGUUUGAAACUCUAAGGAAAAGAAAAGCUCACAUAAGACCCGGCUAGUCAUCCCCCAACAGCACCGAGUUUAUAUCCAGGCAGCUCAGCUGCCUCCUGGAGUUUACAGCAGCAAGCUGCUUUUUUCAAAGGGUCUGUGAAUUCUUUUGGUUUUCAUGGUAUGUUUCUCCAGUGGUUCUUGGAGCAAAAGUUCACAAGCUGGCAGAGUUAUACAAUCUGCUGAGCGUCAGGAACACAAGCUGCUGAGCAUCGGGGAUACAAGUGGCUGAGCGUCAAGCACAGAAGCAGCAACUGAACAUCAGAGACUAAGGAUAGACAUGGCUAACUUCAGAUGGUGUGGCUUCAGGGAAACAUCACCUUCUUCC
rnacentral:lncRNA from 1 species